GACAUUGCAAUUGCCAAAAACAGCGCUACACACUAUAUGCAAUGGCGAGCAACGUGUUGGAAUAUGUGGAGGAGGAGGAUUUCGACAUACAGGAGCACUGAACUGAACUUGGCAUCGUCAAAACAUACAUGUUUGAGCCGAUCAGACAGUGACGACGACAAGCAGCCAAGUAGUAGCUGUACAACAAAAAAAGAGAGUGGCCACUGGCUCGAUGUGACGAUGAACCGGAGCGGAGAAGCCAGACUCACAUGAAUAUGUAGUGCUAAAGAGAAGGAGGGUGUUUACUGCUCGAGUGGCAAGGGAAGGAUAUUCAGUCAUCACAGCUCCGCACCUGAACAGGAUGUUUGCCAGGGACGUGUGGAAGGAGGAGGAAAUGGUGCCGAUGAUUUAAAAAAUAAGACUAUGUCAUCCAUGUCUUUAUGGCUCUUGCUUUGUGUUGGAAGAGGAAGGGGCCAGCUCCUAACUGUUCCUACAAAGUUGGGAGCAUGGAAUUGUCCAAAAUCUUCUGGUAUGCUGAAGCAUUCAGAGUUCCUUCCACUGGAACUAAGGAACCAUUUGCACAAUGGUCACUGCACCAGACUAUUGUUCUAUUAGUCAUUUCAAACUGCUCUAAAUUGCUAGAGGACUUGGCUUAAUUGUCAAAAGAAAUGUUUAAAAAAUAUCGGCAUUACCACAUUACUGGUAACCUUUUAUUGCUCAGUGACUGUGUUUUUGUUUUUAUCUCUCAAAAGUAUUCACUGUCAAUUGACUGCCUGUUGUUGUACUAGAGCGGCUCCAACUACCAGAGACAAAU